rnacentral:sRNA from 1 species
GUUGGGCGUGGUGGCACAUGCCUGUAAUCCCAGGGGCUUGGGAGGCUGAGACAGGAGGAUUGGGAGUUCAAAGCCAGCCUCAGCAACAGCAAGGCACUAAGCAACUCAGUGAGAUCCUGUCUCUA